GCUGUUGAUCGUCCCCUCACUCCUGUCCUCUUUCCUCUCUUCUUCUGUGUGAGUGCGUGUGGCUGCUUUGUCCUUCCAAAAUGAGCCGCGCCUCUUACGCCUCCUCCCAGUCCUCCUCAUACCGCCGUGCCUUCGGUGGGCCCGGCUUCACCACAGCCCCCAUUACCCGUUCCUCUAUGCUUGGCCGUGGCUCUGGGGGCUCACAUGUCAGCUCACGGGUCUACGAGGUCACCAAGACAUCAUCUUCAGCAUCACCGGGCUACAGCAGCUACCGCACAUCUUCCUAUGGCCUCCCUGCUCUGUCCACAGGCAUCUCUCGCUCUUAUGCCGGCAUGGGUGAGACAUUGGACUUCAGCCUGGCCGAUGCCCUCAACCAGGAGUUCCUGCAAACACGCACCAACGAGAAGGCUGAACUGCAGCACCUGAACGACCGCUUUGCUAGCUACAUUGAGAAGGUGCGCUUCCUAGAGCAGCAGAACCAGACUCUGACGGUGGAAGUGGAGCGACUGCGGGGCCGUGAGCCAACGCGUAUUGCUGACCUUUAUGAGGAAGAGAUGAGGGAGCUGAGGCGCCAGAUAGAGGUCGUGACCAAUCAGAGGUCCCGAGUUGAAGUGGAGCGAGACAACUUGGCUGAUGACUUGCAGAAACUCAAACUCAGGCUUCAGGAGGAGAUUGCACAGAGAGAGGAGGCCGAGAACAACCUUGCAGCAUUCAGAGCUGAUGUGGAUGCAGCCACCCUCGCCCGUCUGGACCUGGAGAGACGCAUCGAAACUCUGCAAGAGGAAAUUGCCUUCCUCAAGAAGAUCCACGAGGAGGAGAUCCGUGAGUUGCAGGCUCAGAUGCAAGAGACUCAGGUGCAGAUCCAGAUGGAUAUGUCCAAGCCUGAUCUGACUGGUGCUCUGAGAGACAUUCGCUCUCAGUAUGAGGCCAUCGCCGCCAAGAACAUUGCCGAGGCUGAAGACUGGUACAAGUCCAAGGUGUCAGACCUGAACCAAGCAGUAUCCAAGAACAACGAAGCCCUGAAGCAGGCCAAGCUGGAGACCAUGGAGUACCGACACCAGAUUCAGUCCUACACCUGUGAGAUUGACUCACUGAAGGGCACGAACGAGUCUCUGAUGAGGCAGAUGCAAGACAUGGAGGACCGACAUGGACGCGAGGCUGCCAGCUUCCAGGACACAAUUGCUCGGCUGGAGGCCGAGAUCGCUAACAUGAAGGAUGAAAUGGCACGACACCUGCGCGAAUACCAGGACCUGCUCAAUGUCAAGAUGGCCCUGGAUGUGGAGAUUGCCACCUACAGGAAACUGCUGGAGGGAGAAGAGAGCAGGAUUACGCUGCCCAUGCAGGCCUACUCCACAAUUAGCUUUAGAGAGACCAGCCCAGAGCGCCAGCAACGAGCCUCCGAAAUGCACUCAAAGAAGACAGUGCUCAUCAAAACCAUCGAAACCCGUGAUGGCGAGGUAGUGAGUGAAUCUACACAGCACCAGCAGGACAUCAUGUAGAGCUUCACCAAAGGAGCUGAACCACAAAAGCCACAAGUGGUUUCAAUAAAUCCAUAAGAGCAAAACCAUAAGAGAGGAACCUGGGAAGAAGAAAGGACAAAGGUCAAAACACAGGAAGGGGCUAAUAUGUAGGUGAAUAAAGAGAGCAAGAGAGGACAGGAGGAAGGGUAAACGAUGAGGAAUUAACUGGUAGCCGUGACAUGUACGAUGAAAUCAAAAUAAAGUAAAUACGCAUCAACCACUC